UUUUUUUCUUUUUUUUUUCCUCUUAAUUUUUUUUUAUUAUCUCAGUAGCAGUAGAAUUUGGGUUUUUCAGUUGUAGUUAUUGCUUGAACCAGUAAUGAAACCCUUAUGGACAAUCUAGCUUGAAAUUUAUUCUCUUUUUUAAAGAGUGUUGACAUUCGAAGUAAGACCAUUAGAUGUUUUGCUUCUGGCUAAGAUUACUCAGUGUUAUAGUAAAAAGCUCCUUUAUUUAACGUUAAGUUUUUUCCAGAUUUCAAUUAGAAUUUAGUUCUGUUGUGUGAUGUUGAAAUUGAUUGACCCACAAAUUAAUAUAAUAUGGGAAUUGGGAGAGCAUAAAUGCAUUUUAUUCUGCAGAUUAUUCAGUCAGGGAACUUGCUAAUGUUUUUCUCACUUCUACAUUGAGGAAUAUCAAGACAGUACAUGGUCUUCAAUGAAUGCAUCUCUUUUACUUGCUAUGGUGAUAAAUUUAUUCUUCUCUAGCUCAUACUUUAGUAGUUUAGUUUUUCACUUUCCUUAAAAAAUGAAUCACUGCAGAUGAAAACUUCCUCUAGUAAUAUGUGUUGCAUCAUAUCAUUAUUGCAGAUGUGCACGUUUCUAAGAGUACUAGAUAUGGUGUAAUUUCAAACCCGCUAUCAGGUAAGUUGACUCAUUUUAUUAUAAAAACUAGCUUAUCUACGGCUCGCAUAAGUUUUUGAACUUAUUUUAUAUAUGCCUUCAAAUUUGAAUAUUUCUAGCAGACAAAGUUCAUUAGGCAGGUAAAUUAUUUAUAUGCUACUGAUGUUUUAUUUAUUUGGAAAAAGAAAAUGAACUCCAACUUUCUAUAUAAUAACUCGAGAUUGAGGGUGAAGAACAUGAGCCUUACAUCGAAGUAUCUCAAGUAUAAAUAUGGUGUACUACGUAGAUGAUGUUUUCAAUUAAGGAUAGAGUGCUUUUUGUAAACCUAAAGCCAAGAAAUUUGUAUGAUACAGAAGAAGUUGUGAAAGAUGAAAGUUAUGAGAAUGAGCUAUACUAAGAGUUAGGAUAUAACUAGCUACAGACCAUCUAAUUGAUGAUGUAGUCGAGGCAAAUACUGCUACUUAUUUAGCAACAAAUACAUACAAAUCCGAAUAAACUUUUUAUUUAUUAUGGUGUUUUAUCUAAAGGUAACAAUAUUGCAUCUUUAAGUAGUGCUUAUUUAUUUCGUCUAUAGGUAUGUUUAGAGAUGACAUUCAUAUUGGAUUUAAAGGUAUGUUCAGAAAUAGUAUUCACAUUUGAUUCACCUUAUUUUUUAUAUCUUGUAUUCGUAUGUGUUCCCCAUAAGAGGAUCUCUUACUGUGGAGUAAUUCUAUGGACAAACUUUGAUGAAGCCAACUUGAUUGAAUGCUAAUCUAUGCAUAUUUUGGUUUAACAGAUUGAUAUGCUGUUAUGAUGGCAUUGAGUGGUAAGUUAUGCUUGUUAACUUAUCUCCUAAAUCUUUUCACAUUUUUUUUCCAGGUCACAUUAAGUAACUAAGAGUCAUUUGGUAUAUAUUCUCUUGUAGUUUUUGCGGAUAAUACAGAUACUAGUGGAAUUCAUGCCUUAGAAAAAGUUUUGCGCGUUUUAAUUUGUUGCUUCUUUUGUUUGAAGUUGGAUCCAACAGAUUUUAACAUGCUUGGUUUGUUUAACUAACUACUCCUAUCAGACCACUCCUAUUUUAUUCAGUUCAUUUCUUCUACUUCAAUUUUCUAGUGUUAUUAGCCUUCAGUUUCGAUGCAAGUUUGUUAAUCAUUGGGAUAGAUUACAGCUUAUAAUUUAUUUGUUUGAUUCUAAUGUUAGAAAGCCUAUAGUGGUUAAUUUAUAUUUUAUUAGUUACAUUAUGAUUUUCGUGAAUAUAUGGCAAGAAUUUAUGCUAUCAAGUAAAAUAAUUUGUGGAUGUAAGUGUUGUGAUGAUAUCCAAGGAAAUAACUUUGUACUUUAGCUCUUAUUCAUGUGAGUAUCUAACAACUUCAGUUCAAUGCUAUUGUUAGAUCAAGUAACAGAUUUACUUGUAAGAAGAAUCAGACCUUUCGUUUAUUUAUAUACCAAGAUCUUCCUUUUAGCUUGUUGGCAAAAUUUUAUUCCUUUAAAAGUUUUUGAUCAAAAUUCUCUGUUUCAGCAUGUGAUAUGUAGAGUGAGCCUGCUUCAUUCGGUGGAUGUGAGAAUAUGAUUAGGUGACAACAAUACAAAUCACCAAGCAAAUAUUUAGCACAUCUGCAUAUUUACUUAUUAUGGACAGCUGUAGAAUGUAUAAUGUUUAAAUUAUCAAAUGUGUUUUUAUAACUUUAGUGUGAUAUGAAUUUGAAUGUGUUGAUUUUUGUUACUAUAGAUAUUCUUAAUGGAAUGGAUUUAUGUUGUAUGACUUAUUGAGUUUAUUUAUUGAAUCCUUAAUUUAAAAUUUUUCACUAUUGUGGCAGUUAUAAGCUGCCACUGAUUAUUUUUUUAAAAGAUUGAGAUCAAAUUGUGGGGGUUUAUAACCCUCUCACAUUAUUUUUUAAAAACUAUUGAGAUCAUAUUUUGGGUGUUAUAAACCGUCGCUAAUUGCCUUUAAAAAUUGUCACAAAUUAAAAAUUUAUAUUGUGGCGGUCAUUGUGGAGGUUUUACAAAAUUGCCACAGAAAUGCUCGUGACGAAGGUAAUUGUGACGUUUUUUGAAACCGCUACAAUUCAUUUUGUUGGGGUCAAAAACCGCCACAAAACUUAAAAAUACCCCCCCCCCCCCACACAAAAUGAGCCUUUUCUUGUUUAUUUAGACCUUCUUCAACCUCUCACCUUAAUGCAUAAUAUAUGGACUUCCAAAUAGAGUUUAGUAGCUUUUACAAACUCAAACAAUAAGCUCUAUGUGUGUGGGUGUUUUCUUAGACUAUCUUUACAUGAUUCUCUCUUUUCUUUCUUACUAUUAUCUUUUCCUAUUACUAACUUUUACAUUUUGUUGGUUAAAAUGUGGACCUUGAAAGUUGGGAAACUACUGAACUAAUUUAAGAAAAAACCUUAUUGAGAUACAAAUUAAAAGGGAUAUCUUUUUCCUUUCAAUUUUAGGAGGUGCGUUAAAAGUUACAUAGGAGUUUGGUUACUUAAAAUAAUCAUUUCAUCUUAGAUUUUAAUUCAUAUAAUUUUAUACGAAGUUUACACAGGAGAUUACGACCGAUCCAUUGGAGAGCUUUGGAAAUAUAUUUCAAAUAUAUUUAAAUCAGUCUAAAGUUAUGGAACACAACCUUUAAAUUAUAAAAAAUUAAGUAUGAAUAUUUACUCGCAUUAAGGGGUAAAAAAAGACUUUGCUAAAGAAAUUCCCUAUUUCUAUGAAUUCCAAAAUAUCCACAAUUAAGUAAAUCCUUACUUUUUUACUAAUCAUAAAUAUUCUGGAGCCACUUAUUGUCCACCAAAUUUUGCUCUUCUUAUGGAGCAAACAAUACACUUAAAUUUAAAGAAAUCAAGUUUCAGCACAUGGCUUCAAAUGCCAAAACUUCGCAACCAUUCAUGAAGUUUUACACGCUAGAGGUUACAAGUUUAAUAAAUCUCAACCAACCAUUAAUUUCUUCUUGAACCAAUUUUAUCAGGAAAAGCAACAAAUCUCAGCUUUCAAUCUCUUUCACUAGUGAAAAGCACUACUUAGUUGUUAUUUUCUUUAGUAAUUAAAGAUGAGAUUAUGGCUUAAAUAUAGUUUGGUAUUCUAGCAGGGAAUUGAAGAAACAUAGCUAAAGUGCUGUAAAUUUCCAUGCGGAUUUCAGCGUUUGGAAUGAUUGAAAGGCAGCGCAGGACUUCUUGGAUUAAAAGCACUAUUGGAUUCUUUCUUAUUCUUAUAUCUAUUACUAUUGUAGCACUAACAAUUGAAUGGAACGACAUUGUAAGUACAUGCUUGCUCUGUCUCUCUUAACAACUUUUCUAAAAUGUUUGCUCAAGUGUCAUAAUCCGACCCCAACUUUGUUUGGGACUGAAGCCUAGUUGUUGUUAUUGUCAUAAUCUGACACUGGAAUUUACAUUCCAAUCAUUUGUACUUUCUAAACAAUUUAUACAAAAAAUAGUUUUCUGACUUAAUUACAUGAUAAAAUUCAGUGAUGAUAUGCGAUAUUAAUCUUUUUCUCAUGUAUAGCGACAUUUUCCUUUUUUAGUCUCUCCAUACAGAUUCCUUGCAGAAGAAUAAAGUUGAUCUUUUCCCUGAAGUUUCUUGCUCAAUAAAGUGUCCACGAACUUCACCAAACAAACCUAAAUUCAGUUCAUCAUCCGAAUCAUGCCCUGAAUACUUUCGAUGGAUUCAUGAAGAUUUAAGGCCAUGGAAGGACACAGGGAUAACGCGAAAAAUGGUAGAAAGAGCUCGAGAAGUAGCCCAUUUUAGAAUAGUCAUAGUAAAUGGAAGAGUGUAUUUUGAGAAGUAUAAACCAACUUUCCAAAAAAGGGACAUGGUCACAUUGUGGGGGGUAUUGCAACUUCUUAGUUUUUAUCCUGGCAUGCUACCGGAUUUAGAUUUUGUUUUCGAAUGUGGCGAUCAACCAGUGACACAAAAAAGUGAUUAUGGAAAAUCAAAGGAUUCAAUUCCACCACCAUUGUUUCAUUACUGUGGAAAUGACUCGAGUUUUGACAUUGUUUUCCCUGAUUGGUCCUUUUGGGGUUGGUAAACAUUCUUAUCUUUUCAAGUUCAAGCCAAUGUUAAGUUGAAAUAUUUACUAGUAGCAUUUUGGGUGGUUGUAUUAGAAAUGGUUCUUUAUUUUGGUACUACUGCAGGCCAGAAGUCAACAUAAAGCAUUGGGAUAUCUUGAAAAAAGAUUUGCAGCAAAGCAAUGAGAUGAUUAAGUGGACAGAAAGGGAGCCUUAUGCUUAUUGGAAAGGGAAUGUAUUAUUAAGCCAAUCAAGACGUGACCUUUUGAAGUGCAAUGCCUCUAAGAAUCAGGACUGGAACGCGCGAAUUUAUGACAUGGUAAGUCUCAACCUUCAGUUUCUUCACACUUAGGUGCUGUGGGAUCCCUUAAUAGAUGCAAACACUAGGUUCACAAUAAAAGGGUUGCCCCGUGCACAAAGAUGUGCUAAGUGCGGGGUCCAGGGAAGGGCCAGACUACAUUGAGGCUAUUGUACGCAGUCUUACCUUGCAUUUCAGCAAGAAGUUGUUUCCAUGGAGACAAGUCUUACUUCGCAAACUUUAGGUUCACAAUGCUGAAAAUUUAAACACCAUUUCAUAAUUUGCAAUUUUUGAUAUGCUGAUAUUAGCCCUUUUCAGCAAUGGGCUCGUGAACGAAGACAAGGCUAUAAAACUUCAGAUUUAGCUACACAGUGCACUCAUAGGUAUGCAGUCAAUCUCAGAAUACCUUCAAACUAGACCUUUUUCUCUGAAUCUUUCGUAUCUUCUAACCUCUUAAUUGUUCUUUAAUCAUUUUUGUUUGACCAAUUUUUUCUUGGAAUUAUGAUGAGACAGAUACAAGAUUUAUGUUGAAGGGCUUGCAUGGUCAGUGAGUCAAAAGUACAUUCUAGCCUGUGAUUCUGUGGCUCUUCUCAUAAAUCCCCACUAUUAUGAUUUCUUCACAAGGAGUUUGCUGCCAACAAUCCAUUACUGGCCAAUAAAUGAGAAUGACAAAUGCAAAUCCAUCAAGUUUGCAGUAGACUGGGGCAAUAAGAAUGCAGAAAAGGUAACAUUCUAUGUAUAUGACAAUACUAAUUAAUCUUCUGCUACCUUAAUCGUUUUAUAAAUUUAAUGUUUGAGCACCAAUGACCCUCAACAGGCACAAGAAAUUGGAAAAUCAGGGAGCAAAUUUGUACAUGAGGAGCUACAAAUGAAGUACAUUUACGACUACAUGUUUCAUCUCUUGUCCGAAUAUGCCAAGCUUUUGCAGUAUCGACCCACUGUGCCUAGAGAAGCAGUUGAAGUAUGCUCAGACACAUUGAUUUGCUCGACGAAAGGAAUAAGAAAGAAGUCUAGGGUACAUUCCAGGGUUAAUUAUGCUUCAUCUUCAAAACCAUGUAGCAUGCCCCCUCCCUGGAGCCCUGUGGAUCUCCAAGAUUUUCUCGAGAGAAAAGAGAAUCUCACAAAGCAAGUUGAACAGUGGGAAGAAACUCAAAGUGUUUGAAACUUUCCACAUCAGGGACGUAGUAUUUGCUUAACCUAUCUUUCUUUCAAUUUUGCCUAAAUUCACAAGUGAGAAAAGAAGACACUUUUGAAUCACUGUAUAUCAGUUUCCAUGAGAUAUAUCUGGCAGAAAAUUAUUGUUCUUUAUCAUGUCAAUCUAUAUAGAAAAAUGCUCAUUUGUUCCACUUCCAUAGAUAUUGUGCAAUCAACUUUCAUUUAGUUGAAGGAUUACUAAACAUUGGAUUAAAUUUCUAUAGUGAAGCAUCUGGAACUAUAUUGAUCCUUCUAUGAAGUAUUCCCUAGUCCGAGAGAAAAUUGCAAAAGAAACAUUCCUCAGUAUAUUUGAUAAAUUUAUAAAAUUAUUUCUCUUAAUCCGAGUUUUAAGGAUUAAGUGGAGUUGAGAAAAGUUCCAGUAAGUUCAUCAAAUCAACCUUCUGUUUAUUUGAUUUUGAUAUAACAAUCAUAGGUUUGCUUUUCGAUCUGUAUAUAAAUACUGUAUCUCCUUCUGCAAUACACAGCAGAUAAAAUAUGUUGGAGUGGAAUUUUUAAAAGAAACUAAUACUCUCCUCCCUGGUUUCCAAAUUCUUUACUUAAUCAAGAAAGAAACUUUCUUAUGAUUAGGAUCAAACCUAAAUAACCUGAACUUGGUUUAGUCAAGUCCUGGACUUGGCACUAUUUUCUUGACAAUGUAAAAGGACUUUUGAUCUUCUAAUCGUGGAUACUUGAUAUCUUCCGAAACAGGAUCAAGGUGAAAAAAAGGGGGUCAUUAGCUUAAUAAUCUAAUGGAAAUUCUUUUCUGGAUUACAUUUUUUAGACUUAAAUAUUUGACAGCAUGCAAAAACGACGAUCAAAUGAACAAGGGGAAAGGAAAGAGCAAAACAGGAACGAGAAUUGAAUUGAAUUGAAUAUAAUUAGAAAUUAGGAUCCCAUCACUUUGCCACACAUGAUCGUGUUUAUAGUAUAUUACAGACAAAAAUCACAAAGAAAAAAUAUACUGAACGUCUUAGACAAGAACGUAUAAACGAACAAAAAAUUCCACAACCCCCCCCCCCCCCCAAAAUUAGAAAGGGCAUAUAGCAUAUGCUUGUAGUAGUGACUGAAUAAAAAGGCCCGACAGUAUAUGUAGAGGGGAAAUUAAAGACAAAUUUC
rnacentral:lncRNA from 1 species